CCCCAGCGCCACGAGUGGUUAUCACGAUUAUUGGGCCUAAAGCGUUCGUAGCCGGUUUGGUAAAUCUCUUGUGAAAUUGUUCGGCUUAACCGACCAGCGUGCAGGAGACACUGCCAAACUCGAGACCGGGAGGCGUAAGAAGUAUUCCAUGGGGACUGGUAAAAUGGGAUAAUCCAUGGAAGACUACCGAUGGCGAAGGCAUCUUACGAGAACGGAUCUGACGGUGAGGAACGAAAGCCAGGGGAGCGAACCGG
rnacentral:rRNA from 1 species